GACGAACGCUGGCGGCGUGCCUAAUACAUGCAAGUAGAACGCUGAAGGAGGAGCUUGCUUCUCUGGAUGAGUUGCGAACGGGUGAGUAACGCGUAGGUAACCUGCCUGGUAGCGGGGGAUAACUAUUGGAAACGAUAGCUAAUACCGCAUAAGAGUAGAUGUUGCAUGACAUUUGCUUAAAAGGUGCAAUUGCAUCACUACCAGAUGGACCUGCGUUGUAUUAGCUAGUUGGUGGGGUAACGGCUCACCAAGGCGACGAUACAUAGCCGACCUGAGAGGGUGAUAGGACACGCUGGGACUAAGACACGGCCCAGACUCCUACGGGAAGCAGCAGUAGGGAAGCAUCGGCGAUGGACGGAAGUCUGACCGAGCAAAGCCGCACGAGAGAAGAAGGGUUUCGGAUCGUGAAGAUCUGUUGUAAGAGAAGAACGAGUGUGAGAGUGGAAAGUUCACACUGUGACGGUAGCUUACCAGAAAGAGACGGCUAACUACGUG
rnacentral:rRNA from 1 species